CCCCGUCAACCCUGGCAACACCAGCACGAUGGGACUACCAGCACCCACCUCAACCCCCGCCAACCAGUCCAAGCUGAUCUGCCCUCCGUCCUUCAGUUGCAACACUUCCCUGUGAAAGGUCAAUUAUUAUGCUAUGAGAGAACUACAACACUCGCUCCUCACCUCUUGUACGUGAUAUCUGGCAGUCUGAGCCGCAGGAGGGAAGCCAACACGGUCUGGCAGUGAGACUCAUAGCACCAGGGUGUGGGCCAGUACUUCUCCUGCAGGAUAGUGAGGUGGGUCUCCAGAAACCUUCGCCACUCACUUCGUCUGCACGUCAACUGAGGCCGCUGUGAGGGUUAAGAAAAAAGAAAGAAAUUUAAACAGUUUAUUUAGUUAGAUUAGGUCGUGUUAGGUGAGGUUAGGUAUUCAUGCUGUUUGUUAGUUUACAUUUAGUUGUGUUGGAUUAGGUCAGGCCAGAUUUGUGUAAGGAUGAAUUAGGUUCUAUUAAACUGGCGUUAUAUUGUAUUAAGUUAUAUAUUUCAGAGUGUUAAGUUACACUAGGUUAGGUUACAUCAAAAUAAACAAAAUCUCUGCAAC